rnacentral:lncRNA from 1 species
AAAACAUAUUGUAUUUCUCUAAUUUCUACUGUUUUCAUGUAGAGCAUUGAAUAUUCUUUCUGUCGAUACCAAUUUAAUUGAGAUCUAAUAACGAAUGAGGGAGUUAUGGCUGUUUUACUAAAUGGUAUCGGAUCGCCCUGGUUUGACGGUCGACCUGGCGGACUGUCAGGUUCCUGGUAGGCCGUCAAGUGCCCCAUUAAUCCAAGGC